rnacentral:rRNA from 1 species
AGAGUUUGAUCAUGGCUCAGAACGAACGCUGGCGGCGCGCCUAAUACAUGCAAGUCGAGCGAGAAGACGUAGCAAUACGUUUGUAAAGCGGCGAACGGGUGAGGAAUACAUGGGUAACCUACCCUCGAGUGGGGAAUAACUAACCGAAAGGUUAGCUAAUACCGCAUACGACUCCUGGUCUGCGGAUCGGGAGAGAAAGCGAUACCGUGGGUAUCGCGCUCUUGGAUGGGCUCAUGUCCUAUCAGCUAGUUGGUGAGGUAAUGGCUCACCAAGGCUUCGACGGGUAGCUGGUCUGAGAGGACGAUCAGCCACACUGGCACUGCGACACGGGCCAGACUCCUACGGGAGGCAGCAGUAAGGAAUAUUGCGCAAUGGGCGACAGCCUGACGCAGCGACGCCGCGUGGGGGAUGAAGGUCUUCGGAUUGUAAACCCCUUUCGGCAGGGAAGAUGGAGCGGGCAACCGUUCGGACGGUACCUGCAGAAGCAGCCACGGCUAACUUCGUGCCAGCAGCCGCGGUAAUACGAAGGUGGCAAGCGUUGUUCGGAUUUACUGGGCGUACAGGGAGCGUAGGCGGUUGGGUAAGCCCUCCGUGAAAUCUCCGGGCCUAACCCGGAAAGUGCGGAGGGGACUGCUUAGCUAGAGGAUGGGAGAGGAGCGCGGAAUUCCCGGUGUAGCGGUGAAAUGCGUAGAGAUCGGGAGGAAGGCCGGUGGCGAAGGC